CAGAUUGAUUGUGGGCUACCACUUCACUUACCUGAGAUGAGCAAGAAGUGGCCAAUGGGAAACUUCUAGGGGGUAUCUAGACCCAAGAAGAUUCUGUAUCUGGGCUCUUGAGCCACUGCGGCUCAGUCCACUCCCACACUGUGGAGUGUACUUUCAUUUUCAAUAAAUCCCUGCUUUCGUUCUUUUGUUGCUUCAUUCUUUCUUUACUUUGCUGGGCAUUUUGUCCAGUUCUUCGUUCAAAACACCAAGAACCUGGACAGCUUGCAGUUAUGACCCUCUACCGGUGACGUAUCUUGGCAAGCCAGCCAGGAGGAAAGGGGCUCUUCUCCCUUUGCUUGGCACUUCUUCCUGCCACCUUGUGAAGAAGGUGCCUGCUUCUCCUUCACCUUCUACCAUGAUUGUAAGUUUCCUGAGGCCUCCCCAGCCAUGGUGAACUGUUGAAACCUAAUCCCCACUGUGAUGGAAGCAAGAGGUGGAAACUUUGAGAGGUGAUGAGGUCAUGGGGCAGAGCCCUUAUGAUUGGGAUCAGUGCCCUUAUACACAAGGCCCUGGGAGAGCUUCCUCGUCCUGUUCUGCCACGUGAGGACACAGCAAGAAGCCGCCAUCUGUGAAGCAGGAAGCAGCCCUCACAGACACCAAAUCUGCCGGCCCCUUGACCUUGGAGUUUCCAGCUUCCAGAACUGCGAGAAAUAAAUGUCUGUGGUUUGUAGGUCACCCAGUCUGUGGGAUUUCAUAAUAGCAGCCCAAGUGGACUAAGAGAGUGGUAAAAUUAAACACAGCAAUUACACACAUUUGGGGUCUCCCAUAUGACAGGCAAGUAUUCUUUGUUAUCAAAAUCCAAAAUCCAAGACUCAAGGGCUGCAGGAGCCAUCUCUGCCCAUCCCCCACGUUCAUCUUUUGGCAUCUGUCCCCCUCCUCCCAUGGGGCUUACUUCUAUUUUUAUUAUUUCUGGCUCUUACCUCAGGGCCCUUGCACUUGCUGUUCCACUUGCCAGGAAUUCUCUUCCCUGCUUGUCUUAAAACUGAUUCUUCUCAUCCUUCAGUGUCCAUAAGAAGUGUGGCUUCCUUAGGGAGUGUUUCUCCUUCCACCCUUGAUGAGCUGGUUGCCCCCCUCCCUCACUCACUACUGAGUCCCCAGGGUGGGGAACGCAUCUGUACUGACCAUUACUGCACCCCAUUGCAUAGUCCUAAUGCACAGUAGAAACUUGAUAAAUGUUUCCUUCCUUCAUUCAACAAAUAUUUACUGAGCACUGACGGUGUGCCAGGCAUGACAACAAGUGUUUAAAAUACAUCAGUGCUCAAAACAGCCAAGAUCCUCUACUCUCAAAAAGUGUAAAUAUUUUUUUCAAAUCAAUGACCGAGCCCGCUGACCAGAACCCCAGACACUGAGUAGCUAAGCAGAAAGCAGCUGCAAGGGCAAUGCAGGUGAAGGGAAGAACAAGCCGAUGGCCCAGAAGGCAGGAUGAGAAUCCGAGAUCCACUCUCCAUGAUCUGCCAUGAGUUCCACCAGAGGCCUGGCCAUGCCUUGGUUUCCCCCAGCCCACAGCCUGCAAAUAGCUCCUCGAAACCCUUGGGGUGUUAUGGCCCCUGCUCAUCCUCCUGAGGGCACAGGCAGCGAACUGAGAACCCCUGUGAAUAGCACUCUGGAAAAGUCAAGUGCCCUCCACCUGCUGAAUCACACUUGACUUUUGCUAAAAUCAAGACAAUUACAAGAUUGUUCCUGAUCCUAUUUAGUACGGCUGGAUGGCCCUUGAGCCAAAUUAGAGGGAGGAUGGGCCUGGAAUGAGAGAGGAUGAGAUAGGUUCCAUGAAGCUCCCAUAAGAAUUUCACUCUUGAGGCGAUGCCACAGCCCUGGCAGGCUGCACAGAAUAAAAGUCCACCUUGGUUAGAUGCUUCACCUGUUUCUAAAGGAAACUGUACUCCAUCAUUGUUCAGGAACUUAAAGCAUUCAUUUAAAAAGUAAUAGCAAACACUCAGUAAAAGCACACUUUGACCACCCACUCUUCAGACCAGGGCCCCACCCGUUUCAGAAAUAACCAUUCUUACCAAAUUAGUGCAUGCCUCUUCCAGAAUUUUCUAUGCAUUUACAUACACAUGUAUUGUUUAAUUUUUUUCUUGGUUUUGUUUUAUAUAAAUGAGUUAUAUUGUCAUUUCGGUUCAAAAGCUUUUCUUCCUCUACAUUACAUUCUAUCUUGAAAGUCUUAUUAGUACAUAUAUAUGCUUUUUUUUAAUUUUUAGAAAUGGGAUCUCGCUUUGUCACCCAAGCUGGAGUGCAGUGGUGUGAUCAUAGCUCACUGCAGCUUUGAACUGCUGGGCUCAAGCGAUUCUUCCACCUCAGCCUCCUGAGUAGCUGGGACUACAGGCGAGCACCAACACACCUGGCU
rnacentral:lncRNA from 10 species